UACGGAGGAUGCGAGCGUUAUCCGGAUUUAUUGGGUUUAAAGGGUGCGUAGGCGGCUUUUUAAGUCAGCGGUGAAAUUUUGCAGCUGAACUGUAACAGUGCCGUUGAUACUGGGGAGCUAGGAUUUGGUUGCUGUGGGUGGAAUGUGUGGUGUAGCGGUGAAAUGCUUAGAGAUCACACAGAAUAUCGAUUGCGAAGGCAGCUCACAAAGCCAAGAUUGACGCUGAGGCACGAAAGUGUGGGGAUCAAACAGGAUUA
rnacentral:rRNA from 1 species